rnacentral:rRNA from 1 species
AGAAUCAACGCUGGCGGCGUGCCUAACACAUGCAAGUCGCACGAGAAAGGGUAGCAAUACCUGAGUAAAGUGGCGCACGGGUGAGUAACACGUGAAUAAUCUACCUCCGAGUGGGGAAUAACUGAGAGAAAUCUUAGCUAAUACCGCAUAACACUUACGAGUCAAAGCAGUAAUGCGCUUGGAGAGGAGUUCGCGGCAGAUUAGCUAGUUGGCGGGGUAAUGGCCCACCAAGGCGAUGAUCUGUA